GACAGACAUUCAUCAGGGACCCGCCAUGUGGCAGCUCUGUUCUAGGCUCUUGGGAUAAAGCAGUGAGAAGUGCAGCCCCUGUCUUGCUGGAGCUCACAUUUCUAGACCCCAGCGUCUAGGACUCUGCCCUCCUCUCCCAUCCCCCUCCUGACCCACCCCGACUGUCAGUGUGGCACAUUGAUCAGAAGCUUCUGUUUUAGAGGCGGACAGAAGACUUGGGUUUGAGUCCUGCCUCCAACACCUAGGAACUCUGCCACCUUGGGUGAGCAGCUUAACCUCACUGAGCCUCAGUCUCUUCAUCUGUAGAAUGAAGAUGUAAGGAGUUGGUAAAAUAAUGCUACAGAUUAAAUGUAUCCAACAUGGAGCUGCACAGUUGCCUAAGUGCAGGAAGAGGGAGUACCAUUAAUAGCUACUCUGAUGCAGAAGAAGAAAGUAACUUCCCGAUGUCUAGGAAUUGGGCUUGGAGGACUGGAUGGGUGGCGGGGCCAUCGUUGGGAGGGGAACCUGGAAGGAAGAAGAUAUUGGGUGAUGUGGGGGUGGUGGUGUAUGAUGUCCAGGAGAUGUUUCACUGCCAUCAGUACCUCACCAGACUUCUCUCUCUCUCUCUCUCUCUCUUUUUAAAAUACGGAGCCCUUCACGAAUUUGCGUGUCGUCCUUGCGCAGGGCCAUGCUAAUCUCUGUAUCGUUCCAGUUUUAGUGUAUGUGCUGCCGAAGCGAGCACCUCACCAGACUUUUGUUAAGUGGAUGAAUGAAUGUCCACUUAACCCAAUCUCAGAGUCUCUGCCUUGGAAUAGUGGAAUUUACUCCAUGACAUUUAUUGUAGCUCCUGAUAUAUUUGGCCUUAUUAUUGCCAUCUCAUUAUUGUCUUUAUUUUUUUCUCCCUAAAAUCCUUUUUUUUCUGUUCUACUAGUGGCUACCCCUUCUUCCCACCAACAUACUGAAAUUUCUGUUUUUCUAACAACAUUAAAAAUUGACCAGAGUCUCCUACCCAAGUAA